CAGUCGCCACGGGAAUACGAGGGGGGCAAGCGUUGUUCGGAAUUAUUGGGCGUAAAGGGCGCGUAGGCGGUUUGACAAGUCUUAUGUGAAAUCUUCGGGCUCAACUCGAAGUCUGCAUGGGAAACUGUCGGGCUUGAGUAUGGGAGAGGUGAGUGGAAUUUCCGGUGUAGCGGUGAAAUGCGUAGAUAUCGGAAGGAACACCUGUGGCGAAAGCGGCUCACUGGACCAUAACUGACGCUGAGGCGCGAAAGCUAGGGGAGCAAAUGGGAUUAGAUACCCCUGUAGUCCCUGUCUCUUAUAC
rnacentral:rRNA from 1 species